rnacentral:rRNA from 1 species
CUAGCUGUAAACGAUGGAUACUAGGCGUUGAGAGUAUCGACCCUCUCAGUGUCGUAGCUAACGCGUUAAGUAUCCCGCCUGGGGAGUACGCGCGCAAGCGUGAAACUCAAAGGAAUUGACGGGGGCCCGCACAAGCGGUGGAGUAUGUGGUUUAAUUCGAUGCAACGCGAAGAACCUUACCAGGGCUUGACAUGUCCGGAACCCUGCACAAAGGCGGGGGUGCCUACGGGAACCGGAACACAGGUGGUGC